rnacentral:rRNA from 1 species
UNUGACUUGAGUGCAGAAGGGGAGAGUGGAAUUCCAUGUGUAGCGGUGAAAUGCGUAGAUAUAUGGAGGAACACCNGUGGCGAAAGCGGCUCUCUGGUCUGUCACUGACGCUGAGGCUCGAAAGCGUGGGUAGCGAACAGGAUUAGAUACCCUGGUAGUCCACGCCGUAAACGAUGAGUGCUAGGUGUUAGGCCCNUUCCGGGGCUUAGUGCCGGAGCUAACGCAAUAAGCACUCCGCCUGGGGAGUACGACCGCAAGGUUGAAACUCAAAGGAAUUGACGGGGGCCCGCACAAGCGGUGGAGCAUGUGGUUUAAUUCGAAGCAACGCGAAGAACCUUACCAGGUCUUGACAUCCCGAUGCUAUUCUUAGAGAUAGGAAGUUACUUCGGUACAUCGGAGACAGGUGGUGCAUGGUUGUCGUCAGCUCGUGUCGUGAGAUGUUGGGUUAAGUCCCGCAACGAGCGCAACCCUUAUUGUUAGUUGCCAUCAUUAAGUUGGGCACUCUAGCGAGACUGCCGGUAAUAAACCGGAGGAAGGUGGGGAUGACGUCAAAUCAUCAUGCCCCUUAUGACCUGGGCUACACACGUGCUACAAUGGUCGGUACAACGAGUUGCGAGCCGGUGACGGCAAGCUAAUCUCUGAAAGCCGAUCUCAGUUCGGAUUGGAGGCUGCAAC